GAUGAACGCUGGCGGCGUGCCUAAUACAUGCAAGUCGAGCGAACGGACGAGAAGCUUGCUUUUCUGAUGUUAGCGGCGGACGGGUGAGUAACACGUGGAUAACCUACCUAUAAGACUGGGAUAACUUCGGGAAACCGGAGCUAAUACCGGAUAAUAUUUUGAACCGCAUGGUUCAAAAGUGAAAGACGGUCUUGCUGUCACUUAUAGAUGGAUCCGCGCUGCAUUAGCUAGUUGGUAAGGUAACGGCCUACCAAGGCAACGAUGCAUAGCCGACCUGAGAGGGGGAUCGGCCACACUGGAACGGAGCCGCGGUCCAGGCUCCUAAGGGAGGCAGCAGUAGGGAAUCUUCCGCAGUGGGCGAGAGCCUGACGGAGCAACGCCGCGUGAGUGAUGAAGGUCUUCGGAUCGUAAAACUCUGUUAUUAGGGAAGAACAUAUGUGUAAGUAACUGUGCACAUCUUGACGGUACCUAAUCAGAAAGCCACGGCUAACUACGUG
rnacentral:rRNA from 1 species